rnacentral:lncRNA from 1 species
CCGUUGGCAUCUAGUUGUGGUUUCUUUUCCCAUUCAUCGUCGUUGCGAUGUCUGGAUGUGGUCGUACCCUUUGAAAACAAAAAACAAAAUACCUAGUAAUAAGUAUCAGAUCCCAGUGGACGUUUCCAUUGGUGGAUCCCUGUAUUGUGCAAAUUCUACGGUUCUUGGUAUUCAAUCCCUGUUUACCCUGAAAGUCUGAC